ensembl:lncRNA
CUUUUUCAUGAUUUGGCACCUUGACUUGAGAUACAGAACAACUUGAGUAGGGAAGAGUAUGGUUUGGAUCAAAAUUGCUGCCUCAUUGAGGACUUUCAUUGUGAUAAUUACAGCAAAAUCAACAACUGCUUUUUUUCGUGGCCUUUUUCGGCUUUAUUUAUAGGUACAGUUGGAGAGACAGACAAGAAAGUAGGAAGAGGAGUGGGGGGAAGACAUGCAGCAAAGGACCGCAAGCGGGAAUCAAACCCAGGCCACUGCAUUGGGGACCAGCCCCUGUACAUGGUUCGCCCAUUUAACCCAUUGAGCUAUACGGGCGCCCCUGACAACUGCUUUUAAGGGUAAAAGAAACCGGUGUUGACUGACUGUAGGAAAUUUGAGAGCUGUCCUCUAAAGUCUGAUGCUUUGUGGACCCAUUCAUCUACCCCGACCUGCUCUUCCAGUGGGAUUAGUGUCUCUAUAACAUCAAUUAUUUACACUCCUUCGACAGGACAGACCAGAGUGCUCUGAUGAUCAAGCCGCCUGUCCAUCUCUCACUCCAUUUUUAUAUCACUCCUGAACAAGAUCCCGAGAUACUUCAACUUCUUCACUUGGGGAAGCAACUCCCCCCAUCCCGGAGGGAACAAUGCAAUGGUUUCCGGCAGAGAACCAUGGUUUCAGACUUGGAGGUGCUGAUCUGCAUCCCCACUGCUUCACACUCGGCUGCAAACCGCUCCAGUGUGUGCCCUGCCUCCCCUUCCUGAGGCGCCGAACAGUUUGCCAGAACUUCCUCGAGGACAACCAAAAGUCCUUCUCCAUAGCCUCUCCCAACUCCUUCCACACUUAAGUUUUUGCUUCCACAACUCCCUCAGCCAUAACCCAUAACCCAGGCGAGGUGGCGGCUUCUCCUUUUUGUGCUGUCAUCAGAGUUUUCUGAAUCACUCUUUGUCUGGUCUCUCCCUCCACAAGACCAAUUUGCUUUGGGAGACCCUACCAGGGGUGAUUGCCCUGGACAACGUAGCUCCCAGGAUCAUAGAUACACUCAAACCCCUCCAUUGCGAUAGUGUCGACGGGGGAUAAAUGUAAGCAGUGCCACACAAACUGUUGUCCAGAGACUGUUGCCAGUUUCAUUUAACACAUCAGUGCUCUUAUUUCGUACUUUUAGAACCAUUAAGAAAAUCUGGAGGAGAUUUAGGCUUUUAAUCAGUUAUAGGUGCAGUGGUUAGAUAUCAGAUGCAGAUAAUGUACUCAGAUAACAUCAAACAAAAACAUGAAUUGGCUUUUUUACUGUGAUUUUACAGUGUUUCUUUAAGCUUUAGGACUCCAGCAGGCUGUCACCAAGUGUGGCAUCAAAGUGGGUUGCUUUAGAAUAAGGAGUACAGUCAUGUAUUGUGAAUGUCUUGGUUUUGUGACACUGUGGUAAAUGUCAGUCUGUGUGACCUUUUUGGAGGCAGGAGUUUGACAGGAAAAACAGUUUCAGAGUCAUAAACAAUCCACUGAGGUGAUCUUGCAUGAGACCUUUGUCUUGUUUCUAGUUUGAUUCCUAUAUUACUAAUUGCACAGUCAAGCUGCAGAAGAUUUGGUAAGCUGAAUUAUACUCACUGCAGCAAUUAUUAUGGACAAUUUUUUGUUGUUUUUUUUAGGAAUCACCUAUGGUUUGGUGGCUUUGAUGGUUGAACAAAAAUCAUCACAGAUGCCAAAACAGUAGUUCUGCAAAAUUUCUUUUUCCCCCCUAUUAAAGGAAAUUGCCUUGAGUAAAUCUUUACAGACUGAAUGAGGAUGGCACAGAAAUAUGUGAUGAUAUCUUUCCCUUUGAGGAAAACAACACACAUACAUGCUGAAUUACAGGGAGGAAAUUAGACCAGAAAAAACAUUUGUGUGUGUGUGUAUGUAUAUGUGUGUGUGUGUGUGUGUGUGUGUGUGUGUGUGUGUGUGUGUGUGUGUGUGUGUGUGUGUGUGUGCGUUUAAGAGAGGGGACUUACAGGAAAACCACUGUCAUGUCUGUCUGGUUAGCUUAGACUAAUAUAAAGGCUGGGAAAAAAGAGAAACAACUUGCAGAGAUUUAACAAUUAAUUAGUGAGCAUUAACAAAACUGGUGGGCAGACCAAGAUGAGCUGUUUCUGCCUGUUUCUAACGGUCUGAGUGUUGUCAAUUUGGAGUCUCUAUAUUUGUUAAAAAUUUCCUUUAAAUCCCGCUAAGACAUAAUUUCUUACUGAACUUUCAGACCUAAUUAAAUGGGCAGGACAGGAUUAGCUAAUGAUAAUCAUCUGACAGAAAAGCCAAACAUAAUCAAAACGAAUGGCCACAUUUAACAUUUAUUUUUUAAUUCAAUGAAGCUUUUUGGAAUCUCACAUACACAAGCAUAAGAAAGUAGCAGCUGAGAGAAAAGACACUGUGUAUUGUAAAAUAUGUAUGUUCCUGAGGUAAAUGUUCAUUUCAAUUAUGGAU